rnacentral:rRNA from 1 species
GAGAACGACUCCUGACAACGGAUAUCUCGGCUCUUGCAUCGAUGAAGAGCGCAGCUAAAUGUGAUACUUGGUGUGAAUUGCAGAAUCCCGUGAAUCAUCGAGUUCUUGAACGCAAGUUGCGCCUAAGGUCAUCCGACCGAGGGCACAUCUCCUUGGGCGU